AUAAAGCUACAUUGUUCGUACGAUAUUAAGUUUUAACCUUUACAUUGUAACAGGGAGUUUUAAUCGUUUAGGAAAUGGCGUGCCCAGACUCUUUUGACUUUGGGAUAGACAGGAACUAAAUUGCGAACACCCACUUUGAGGAGUGGUGGUUUAAAACUUUCUAUUCAUAUUACGUCAAUUGUAGCUUUAUA
rnacentral:other from 1 species